AGAGUUUGAUCCUGGCUCAGGAUGAACGCUAGCGGCAGGCUUAACACAUGCAAGUCGAGGGGUAACAGGGAUUGCUUGCAAUCCGCUGACGACCGGCGCACGGGUGCGUAACGCGUAUGCAACCUACCUUCUACAGGGGGAUAGUCAAUAGAAAUGUUGAAUAAUACCCCAUACGAUCUUUGAAUAGCAUUAUUUAAAGAAGAAAGCUCCGGCGGUAGAAGAUGGGCAUGCGUCCUAUUAGUUAGUUGGUAAGGUAACGGCUUACCAAGACUACGAUAGGUAGGGGCCCUGAGAGGGGGAUCCCCCACACUGGUACUGAGACACGGACCAGACUCCUACGGGAGGCAGCAGUGAGGAAUAUUGGACAAUGGAGGCAACUCUGAUCCAGCCAUGCCGCGUGCAGGAAGACUGCCCUAUGGGUUGUAAACUGCUUUUAUACAGGAAGAAACACCUCUACGUGUAGAGGCUUGACGGUACUGUAAGAAUAAGGAUCGGCUAACUCCGUGCCAGCAGCCGCGGUAAUACGGAGGAUCCAAGCGUUAUCCGGAAUCAUUGGGUUUAAAGGGUCCGUAGGUGGUUUAUUAAGUCAGAGGUGAAAUCCCAUAGCUUAACUAUGGAACUGCCUUUGAUACUGAUAGACUUGAGUUAUUGUGAAGUGGUUAGAAUGUGUAGUGUAGCGGUGAAAUGCAUAGAUAUUACACAGAAUACCAAUUGCGAAGGCAGAUCACUAAUAAUGUACUGACACUGAUGGACGAAAGCGUGGGUAGCGAACAGGAUUAGAUACCCUGGUAGUCCACGCCGUAAACGAUGGUUACUAGCUGUUUGGACUUCGGUCUGAGUGGCUAAGCGAAAGUGAUAAGUAACCCACCUGGGGAGUACGUUCGCAAGAAUGAAACUCAAAGGAAUUGACGGGGGCCCGCACAAGCGGUGGAGCAUGUGGUUUAA
rnacentral:rRNA from 1 species